rnacentral:rRNA from 1 species
CACGUAGGGCGCAAGCGUUGUCCGGAAUUAUUGGGCGUAAAGAGCGUGUAGGCGGCCUGGUAAGUCCGCUGUGAAAGUCCAGGGCUCAACCCUGGAAUGCCGGUGGAAACUGUCAGGCUCGAGUCCGGAAGAGGCGAGUGGAAUUCCUGGUGUAGCGGUGAAAUGCGCAGAUAUCAGGAGGAACACCAAUGGCGAAGGCAGCUCGCUGGGACGGUACUGGCGCUGAGACGCGAAAGCGUGGGGAGCAAACAGG